rnacentral:lncRNA from 1 species
GCUGCGCACUUCGGUCUUUUACGUCGGCCUUCGCGAGCGUCUGGGCGGGUGGUAGGUGAGUGGGUAUUGCGGGCUAGUAUCCGAGCAAAAGAUGGUGGCGCAGGCCGAGUUAAGAGCUUUAAUCCUGUGAAGACAUCUUAGUGAAGAGUUUAGAGUGCUGAGAGUUGAAAGCUUGCACGUGGGAAACGUGCGGCCGGACUGCCACAUGUACUGAGGUUGAGUCGUGACGGCCACAGGCUCCGAGUUUUGGCGAACAAUGGCGCUGUCUUCAGUGGCACAGUGGAGCAGCUCUGAAGAUGCAAAGAUACACGAAAAAACUUCCAGAACAUCUGGGAGAAUAUUUAAUGGAAAAUCGCUUGGUUAAAACCUGACACUUUUAACAGUGAACAGCGUUCUGAGUGUGGACGAGUAGCCAGUGAAGAUAAUGAAUGUCGAAUGUGACUGACUAGCAGCUUCAUUUUGAAUGAGGGUCGCUGUCUGCCCAUUGAUAGAGGCCAGAUUGUCUUGGAAGUUCCAAAGUUGCAACGAUUUCUGGCUAGUGCCACGAGGUUUACUUGACUGUUGUGUGAAAAGCUGAUAAGAAAACCAUCCAGAAAAAAGCUCUUCGUUUUACAAACAUGAAAAUAAAACAUGUAAUU